rnacentral:rRNA from 1 species
ACACAUGCAGUCGAGCGGUAACAGGUCCAGCUUGCUGGAUGCUGACGAGCGGCGGACGGGUGAGUAACGCAUAGGAAUCUACCCGGUAGUGGGGGAUAACCUGGGGAAACCCAGGCUAAUACCGCAUACGUCCUACGGGAGAAAGGGGGCUUAGGCUCCCGCUAUUGGAUGAGCCUAUGCCGGAUUAGCUGGUUGGUGAGGUAAUGGCUCACCAAGGCGACGAUCCGUAGCUGGUCUGAGAGGAUGAUCAGCCACAUCGGGACUGAGACACGGCCCGAACUCCUACGGGAGGCAGCAGUGGGGAAUAUUGGACAAUGGGGGCAACCCUGAUCCAGCCAUGCCGCGUGUGUGAAGAAGGCCCUCGGGUUGUAAAGCACUUUCAGCGAGGAAGAACGCCUGUCGGUUAAUACCCGGCAGGAAAGACAUCACUCGCAGAAGAAGCACCGGCUAACUCCGUGCCAGCAGCCGCGGUAAUACGGAGGGUGCAAGCGUUAAUCGGAAUUACUGGGCGUAAAGCGCGCGUAGGUGGCUUGAUAAGCCGGUUGUGAAAGCCCCGGGCUCAACCUGGGAACGGCAUCCGGAACUAUGAGGCUAGAGUGCAGGAGAGGAAGGUAGAAUUCCCGGUGUAGCGGUGAAAUGCGUAGAGAUCGGGAGGAAUACCAGUGGCGAAGGCGGCCUUCUGGACUGACACUGACACUGAGGUGCGAAAGCGUGGGUAGCAAACAGGAUUAGAUACCCUGGUAGUCCACGCCGUAAACGAUGUCGACCAGCCGUUGGGUGCCUAGCGCACUUUGUGGCGA